rnacentral:rRNA from 1 species
CCACUUUUGGUAAGCAGAACUGGCGCUGUGGGAUGAACCAAACGCCGGGUUAAGGCGCCCGAAUAAACGCUCAUUCGAAACCAUGAAAGGUGUUGGUUGCUUAAGACAGCAGGACGGUGGCCAUGGAAGUCGGAAUCCGCUAAGGAGUGUGUAACAACUCACCUGCCGAAGCAACUAGCCCUGAAAAUGGAUGGCGCUGAAGCGUUUUGCCUAUACCCGGCCGCCGGCGGCAAAGGGCGCGCUCCUUCGGGAGCGCGUCGCCAAGCCCCGGUGAGUAGGAGGGUCGCGACGGUGUGCGCAGAAGGGUCUGGGCGUGAGCCUGCCUGGAGCCGCCGUCGGUGCAGAUCUUGGUGGUAGUAGCAUUACGGAACCUGGUUGCGGAGCCGCUAACACGAUCCUCGUAUUGACGCGGUAACGCGAAAGACCCCAGAGAUGCCGUCUGGAGCCCCGGGAAGAGUUUUCUUUUCUGCCUGAGCGUUCGGGCUCCGUGGAAUCCUCUCGCAGGGAGAUACGGAGUGGAACGCGAAGAGCACCGCAGUUGCUGCGGUGUCCGGGGAGUCCCGUCGGCCCUUGAAAAUCUGGGUGAGGGUCACGUGGAGGAGUCGCACCAGCUCGUACCCAUAUCCGCAAUCAGGUCUCCAAGGUCAA